ACUCGGUAUGCCUCAGUACGGCGAGUGAGCGGCAAAAGCUCAAAUUUGAAAUCCUUCGGGAGUUGUAAUUUGUAGGUUGGGAGACCCCGCGGCUAGUGGCACCAAGUCCCUUGGAACAGGGCGCCUUAGAGGGUGAGAGCCCCGUAGGUACCACAAUACCGUCUUGUGUCUCCUCUCCAAAGAGUCGAGUUGUUUGGGAAUGCAGCUCAAAGUGGGUGGUAAAUUCCAUCUAAAGCUAAAUACCGGCGAGAGACCGAUAGCGAACAAGUACAGUGAUGGAAAGAUGAAAAGCACUUUGAAAAGAGAGUGAAACAGUACGUGAAAUUGUUGAAAGGGAAGGGCUUGCAAGCAGACACGGCCUUCGUGCCGGGCCAGCAUCGGUUGCUAGGGGUGGAUAAGGAACAAGGAAUGUAGCUCCUCGGAGUAUUAUAGCCUUGCGCGAUACACCCACUGGCGACCGAGGCCUGCGGUAUUCCUACCUAGGAUGCUGGCGUAAUGGUUGCAAGCCCCCCCGUCUUAACACACCCGAAACAA
rnacentral:rRNA from 1 species